ACGCGUCACUGUCUGCGACGAUCUAAGGAGCAUUCCACCACUGUAAGUAGAACAGUCAAAUAAGCAAGGGAAAUUAAUAAGCAUUUAGACGUCCACAAUGAUGAAGUUAUGGCAACAAAACUAAAUAAAACAUAUUGUCGUAUUUGUUAACUUCGAACCCUACUGUAAACUGUAUUAGAAAGCCACUGACAUAAUGCAGCGGUUUGUUACAUCAAAAUGAAAUGCAAUGUAGCUUGCCAGAGCCUCUGCUAGCUAGCUCGAUUAGCUACCUCGGCUACUUUAGUGCUAGUUUAUUGAUUUUGAUUUGGAGGUGUACUUUUGGCAUUGGCAGAUACCGUGUAUGUUUAUGAAUGGAUUUGAACUGAGUAUUUGGUAUUUGGAGAUUAUUUUUCUCUCAGAAACAAGUUGUAAGGUCAGAUGUGUUGUCCUCCUGUGUGUGUGUGUGUGUGUGUGUGUGUGUGUGUGUGUGUGUGUGUGUGUGUGUUUUAUUCUUCUAUCAGUCCCGCUGUAAAACGCUGGAGUACCUGAGCUACUUCCCUGAGGGUGAACACUCGUACAGAGACGCUACGGAGUACUAUGCAGAGGCUUGGAGGUACAGUUACAAGGUCAGAGCCUAGGUGAGUACGGACUCCACCCAAGCAGAGGUGAGUGACAGUCCACCCCAGCACCCACUAAACAUUAGACGUUUGGUGGACGUGCAGAUCAUGUCUUUAUUGCGUCCGUCAUUCCAAGACCAAGUCUGGACGACUGCACAAUGUGCAAAUUAGGUCCGCUAUAUGUCUAACUAGAUAAUCUCUGUUGGACAUUAUACAGAGGUCUCUGGACGUCUCUUUGUUGAUGACUAGUGUUUUUUUGUGUGUGUGUGUGUGUGUGUGUGUGUGUGUGUGUGUGUGUGUGUGUGUGUGUUUGUGUGUUUGUGUGUUUGUGUGUUUUUGUGUUUGUGUUUAUCUCUCUCAGUCCUGCUGUAAACCGCUGGGGUACCUGAGCUACAUCUCUGGAAGUGAGCAUUCGUACAGAGACGCUACGGAGUACUACGCAGAGGCUUGGAGGUACAGUUACAAGGUCAACCCAAGCCUAGGUGAGUACGGACUCCACCCAAGCAGAGGUGAGUGACAGUCCACCCCAGCACCCACUAAACAUUAGACGUUUGGUGGACGUGCAGAUCAUGUCUUUAUUGCGUCCGUCAUUCCAAGACCAAUUCUGGACGACUGCACAAUGUGCAAACUAGGUCCGCUAUAUGUCUAACUAGGUAACCUCUGUUGGACAUUAUACAGAGGUCUCUGGACGUCUCUUUGUUGAUGACUAGUGUUUUUGUGUGUGUGUGUUUGUGUGUUUGUGUUUAUGUCUCUCAGUCCUGCUGUAAACCGCUGGGGUACCUGAGCUACAAUCUCUGGAAGUGAGCAUUCGUACAGAGACGCUACGGAGUACUACGCAGAGGCUUGGAGGUACAGUUACAAGGUCAACCCAAGCAUAGGUGAGUACAGACUCCACCCAAGCAGAGGUGAGUGACAGUCCACCCCAGCACCCACUAAACAUUAGACGUUUGGUGGACGUGAAGAUCAUGUCUUUAUUGCGUCCGAAAUUCCAAGACCAAUUCUGGACGACUGCACAAUGUGCAAACUAGGUCCACUAUAUGUCUAACUAGGUAACUCUGUUGGACAUUAUACAGAGGUCUCUGGACGUCUCUUUGUUGAUGACUAGUGUUUUUGUGUGUGUUUUUGUUUGUGUGUGUGUGUGUGUUUGUGUUUGUGUUUAUCUCUCUCAGUCCUGCUGUAAACCGCUGGAGUACCUGAGCUACAUCUCUGAAACUGAGCAUUCGUACAGAGACGCUAAGGAGUACUACGCAGAGGCUUGGAGGUACAGUUACAAGGUCAACCCAAGCAUAGUCCUGCUGUAAACCGCUGGAGUACCUGAGCUACAUCUCUGAAAGUGAGCAUUCGUAGAGACACGCUACUGAGUACUACGCAGAGGCCUGGAAAUACAGCUUCAAGGUCAACCCCAGCAUUGGUACGGAUAGAAACCAUCCGACCAUAGUCCUGCUGUACAAUGCUGGAGUAGCCUGAGCUACAGUUCUGAAG